rfam:Triticum aestivum genome assembly, contig: Triticum_aestivum_CS42_TGACv1_scaffold_290804_4AL
UGUGUACUCCCUCCAUUCCAAAAUACUUGACUUCCAUUUGUCCAAAAAUGGAUGUACCUAUAUACUAAGACAUGUCUGGAUACAUAUAUAUUUUGACAAAUAGAAGGCAUGUAUUGUGCAACGGAGGGAGUAGAAU